CUUUCUCUCUUCCUUUCUCUCACUCUUCCAUCUGUUGCACCUUUCUCUGACACCUUUUCCAUGACAUCUUCGAAGUCUGCUAUUUUUUCCUAUUAAUCUAAAUAGACACCCUAUGCUCCUUGCAAAUCCCCUCCCUGGACAGGACAGUUCUUUGCAGACAGUUCCCAGCUUCUGAGUACAGGGAGGGGCACUGAGAGACUGCCUGGAUAUCUGCAAACACCGACCAGACCUAAGAAAGAGACUGCACCUGCAAGAGACAUCAAUCCACUUGACUCAGCAGAGACAAAGCAGAACUUAGGAGGACACGUGAUGCAGAGCAACACACAAUCUGAUCUCCGGUAUACACACAGAACAUUGAAACACAACAGCUGAAUGGAAAAAUUCCCUAAGAUGUGUUCUGUCUGUUUACAGACCCCUCUUACAUCUCCUGGCAGCGUCACCUCAUCCAGAGGGCCCAGUGUGCCAGGCUCCCCAUCUACCAUCACUGCUCGGAUGGACAGUCGCGUCCUGGGUUACAAGGACCUAGCUGCCCUCCCACGUGAUAAAGCUAUACUGGAUAUAGAACGUCCAGACCUAAUGAUUUAUGAACCACAUUUCACGUAUACCCUCCUGGAGAAUACAGAGACUCUUCGGAGCCGAGAGAGAUCAUUGUCACCCAAGUCAAUAUCUCCACCUCCAUCUCCUGAGGUGUCUGCACUCUGGGCUGACAACAAGUCUAUAGUAAGUAGUUCAACUGUACAAGGCUCCCGUGGAGGAACCAAUUCUCCAAGAGCAGGAGUCCAGCAUUUUCACCACCCAGAGAUUAACCGGGAAGAGCCAAAUCUCUACAAGAAGCCACCAAUCUACAAACAGAGAGAAUCAGCACUCGCCCACAGACUGUCCGAUGACCCCAUAGUUGAAUCCUCUAAAUUCCCAGCUGCAAAACCUCCAGACCCAAAUCAGCCAGCAAAGAUAGAAACAGAUUACUGGCCAUGUCCUCCUUCCUUGGCUGUUUUAGAGUCAGAGAGACGCCACCGCAAGGAAUCCAAAAGUGAGCAAGAUAGUGAAGAAAAUGAGGAUGUGAAGGAACUGAAAGAACGGCAUAAGAUGGAAAUGAACAAGAUCCAGUCUAAUCUAGGAAAACUCAUCCUAAAAGAAGAAAUGCAGAAGGGAGGAACCCCACGAAGAAAAACCCGUUCUCUGCCAGACCGGACUCCUAUCUACACACCCAUUCAUUCUGGAUAUGGAAGAAGCAGCCUAUCAAGGCUUCAGUCUGCUGAGUUCCAUCACCCAGACCGGCAAAGAGAGAGCAUAGGGUUUCAGGUAAGCAUUCAUAGGGAAGGGAUGGGGGAGAUGGAUUCACAGCCUCUGGAAUCAGUCCAACCCCAAAUGUCUUGUGUGUCCCACAGAACGGUGAAGGGCAGAGGACCAGGAUGGACAGGGGGAACUCUCUCCCAAGCAUGCUGGAGCAAAAGGUUUUUCCCUAUGAAAUGUUAAUGGUGACAAACAGGGGGCGUCAAAAACUACCUCCUGGGGUAGAUAAGACGCAGCUAGAGAGGUAUCUUUCCCCUGAGGAGUUUGAGCGACUCUUCUGCAUGACAUUGGAGGAGUUUGUAAAGAUGCCAUUGUGGAGAAGAAAUGAGCUGAAAAGAAAACUGCUUCUCUUCUAGAUAUGCAACUGCCCUUUAACCACUAGGGAAGAGCAGAGUAUAAUGGGGGUGACUGGAGGAGAUGGACUACUACAGAGUGUGACCAGCAUGACUAAUAUGAGUGACCACAUGGGGCCAGAGAAUCAGCCUAAACAUAUGUCAAUCAUCCAAUGUCAAUCGAGGACUCCCCGCAUUUCUUAAGACACCUCAGACUCAUAUAGGACCAAAUUAAUAUAUGCAUUAGAUACCCCUUAAUUAUGCAACUUCAUACUGAACCCUAUUCUGUAUGACAGGUCACGUGAACACACAAUAUACUAUAUAAUUGUCUAUGACAGAUCACGUAAUCACCUUAUAGCACCAGAUACCAGAACCUUAUUCCGAAUAGCCUUCCCUUAUGUUACCGGUGACAUUCACAGUUAUUUACCGCAGUGGACAUAUCAGAUUGCACAUAGCUUCUAGGGUCUUUUUAUGCACAUAUUACAUAAGUACAGCAUUCACCCCACAGAUAACCCCCAAACCUGAAUAUAGAAUGCCGGCAUUGUACUCUUCAUAUUACAACACGAUAAGUAGUAGGGGCGGAGGUGCUACCCCAUUGUAAUACGCUGACAGCGCUGUGUGUGUGUUAUAUUGGUGAGUGCUUUCAGUUUACUGCAUUACCAUCAUCAUUCAUUGCCCAAAGAGCAUCCUGGCACUUAUCUCCGAGAAAUGGCAAAUUUUUACCCCUCUCCUCUGCUGUGUGUGGUUUGUGAUAUGCUGAAUUUUGGUACAUGCUCUUUCCUAGUCACAUGUGCUUUAAUGUAUGUCUCACAUCCUUGUUCCAUUUUUCCCAUAUCAUCUCCAUUGUCGUCACCUCUCACGUCACACACUCUUUCUUACACUUUGUCUCCACCGUCACCAUCACACACCUCACUAAUGUUUCAUAUACUUCUCCAUUACAGGACCAUUAGCUUUCCAUGACUCUUUUGUGACAUACUUUCACUCAUGCCUACUAUCUCCUACAUAUGUGUCCUGUGUCUACCUUUGGUGUUGAAGCUUUUUCUUUUCAUUAUUUUUGGCUUCUGAUGUACAAUUAAUUAUUAUUAUUAUUAUAAUUAUUAAAGAUUACUGAAUAUUC